rnacentral:tRNA from 1 species
AUAUAUAAUUAUUUCUGCCUUCUAAGCAGACGGUCGCAGGUUCGAAUCCUGC